CAAAUGGGUUUUCAAAACCAAAAGAGAUGUCAGAGGUCAGGUAGAGAGGUACAAGGCCAGGCUUGUGGCUAAGGGUUUCAGUCAAAGAGAAGGCAUUGAUUACACUGAAACCUACUCUCCUGUUUCUACCAAAGACUCUUUUCGUAUUAUCAUGGCAUUGGUAGCUCAUUUCAAUUUAGAAUUGCAUCAGAUGGAUGUGAAGACAGCUUUUCUCAAUGGGAGCUUGUCUGAAGAUGUAUACAUGGUGCAACCUGAUGGUUUUGUUGAGUCUGGUAGAGAAAACAUGGUGUGUAAGCUUAAAAGGUCCAUUUAUGGACUUAAGCAAGCAUCCAGACAGUGGUAUUUGAAAUUUCACGAUAUUGUCACCUCUUAUGGGUUCCAAGAGAAUGCCGUUGAUCAGUGUAUAUACUUGAGAGUCGUCUGACAUUAAGAGAAGAACGUGUGGUUUUGCCUAUUCCAUCUUUUCCGACUUCUGCGAUGGGAUUACCACAUAUUGAUGAUUCUUCUGUUGAUCCUGAACUUCAUCAUAAUAUGGAGCCUAUGAUUGUAGAGGAUGAUGGUACUGAUGUGCCAUUGAGGAGAUCAGAGAGGAUCAGGAGACCUGCAAUUUCUGAUGAUUAUGUUGUUUACUUGCAGGAGCAUGAUUUUGAUGCUGACUCUUCAUCUGAUCCUAUUACCUUUCAAGAGGCCAUCAGUUGUUCAGAAUCAUCAUCUUGGAUACAUGCGAUGCAUGAUGAGAUGGCAUCUAUGUAUCAUAAUGGGGUUUGGGAUUUAGUUGAGUUACCAGAUGGAUGCAGACCAAUUGGUUGCAAAUGGGUUUUCAAAACCAAAAGAGAUGCCAGAGGUCAGGUAGAGAGGUAUAAGGCCAGGCUUGUGGCUAAGGGUUUUAGUAAAAAAGAAGGCAUUGAUUACACUGAAACCUACUCUCCUGUUUCUACCAAAGACUCUUUUCGUAUUAUCAUGGCAUUGGUAGCUCAUUUCAAUUUAGAAUUGCAUCAGAUGGAUGUGAAGACAGCUUUUCUUAAUGGGAGCUUGUCUGAAGAUGUAUACAUGGUGCAACCUGAUGGUUUUGUUGAGUCUGGUAGAGAAAACAUGGUGUGUAAGCUUAAAAGGUCCAUUUAUGGACUUAAACAGGCAUCCAGACA
rnacentral:lncRNA from 1 species